UAGUCCGUACCCAAAGGAUGAGAGACGGAUCCAAUUACAGAUAAGAGUACUGGCUGGCAUACGUCGUUUUGAUACAAGAAAUUGAUAUAUAAUCAUAUCUGAUUAUAGUCUCCUUCAAAUCUUUGCCAAUAGAACAAAAAUGUACAAAAAUCAAAACCCUAAACCGAUGAAAACUAAACUAAGACGAAACAAAUAGAAACGAGGAGGUUGUAAAAUCCUGGUCGGGAAAGAAGAGAAACUUACCUACUCACUAGAAGACCAACCUCUUUCUCCUUCCUCUCCUUUUCUCUUCCUUUACUUUAGGUUUUAUCUUAGCAAAUCGGUAGAGGAACGAAACGGAACAGACUUCUUAAUCGAUCUGUUUCUAAUAAGCUAGGGUUU
rnacentral:lncRNA from 1 species